rnacentral:tRNA from 1 species
UUGGCUAUCGCCAAGCGGUAAUCCACAGGACUUUGACUCCUGCAUUCGUUGGUUCGAAUCCAACUAGCCCAG